CCGGGCAUGAGCAGGGGAGGGGCAGAAAGAGAGAGGGAGACAGAAUCCGAAGCGGGCUCCAGGCUCCGAGCUGUCAGCACAGAGUCCGACGUGGGGCCCGAGCCCACAAACCGCGAGAUCGUGACCUGAGCCGAAGGCAGGCACUUAACUAACUGAGCCCCCCAGGUGCCCCUUGCCCAGGGUUUUCAUACAAGCUUGCAGAUCAAAAGAACAAAAAAGAUUUUGCUCUAUGUACUCUUCUCUAAUCUGAUUUCACUUAACGAAACACCUAUUUCCAUGUGAAAUCAGCCCAGCUGUGUCCAGCUCCCUGUCUGGAACCGUUCUCGGAGAAGCCGGCCUGCUCUGACACCGCGGUGGGUCCCUCCGGUCAUUUCAUCAGAAAACAUGCUUAGCAGUGGAAUUUUUUUAAUUGAAGAUUUUAUGGAGAUAGUUACAGACUCCUACGCGAUUCCAGGAAAUAAUGCUGAAGGACCCCUGGUACAGGUGAGCUAGACCUACCCAAUGGUAACUAACGUUCUUUAAAAGGAUAGCGGGAGAAUCACAGCCAGAAUAGUGACGCUGAUAUGGUUCACUGACUUUGUUCCAAUUUCCCCAGUUUUACUUGUCCUAAUGUAUGCAUCAAAUUCUGUACGUUUAUUUUUAUUUUUUUUAAUAUUUAUUUCUGAGAGACAGAGUGAGACAGAGCAUGAGCAGGGAAGGGACAGAGAGAGAGAGACAGAAUCUGAAGCCAGCUCCAGGCUCUGAGCUGUCAGCACAGAGCCCAACACGGGGCUCGAACUCAUGAACCGUGAGAUCAUGACCUGAGCCGAAGUUGGACGCUCAACCGACCGAGCCACCCAGGCACCUCUUACUUCCCCGUUUUAAAAGUUGUAUUUAGUUGGAUGUACAGAGAGAGAUGAGUCCACAUCAUCUACUCUUGAACCAGAAGUCCCUGGUGUUAUUUUUUCGUUUUACUUAUGUAACUAUUUCUUCAAUGUAUUUUUACAACCGCUUUUUUAAGAUAUAAUUCACAUACCAUACAAUUCACUCAUUUAAAAUGUACAAUUUAAAGGUUUGUAGUGUAUGUGUGGGGUUGUGAAACCCGCACCACUCAAUCUUAGAACACCAUCAUCCCCAAAGAAACCCCAUACCCAUUAAAAGUCAGUCCCCAUUUCUUCCUCCCCUGAGGCCCGACAACCACAGAUAUGCUUUCUGUGUCUAUAGAUUGGCCUAUCAUUGACAUUUCACAUAAAUGGAAUCAUUCAAUAUGUGGCCUGUGGGCAUCUUUCCUUUGCGUAAUGUUUUCAAGAUUCAUCCAUGUAAUUUCAGUACUUUGUUCCUUUGUUUGUGGACACAUAACAUUUUAUCUGUCUGUUCAUCAGUUGAUGGCCAUUUGGUUUAUUUUCACUUACUGACUAUCGUGAAUAACAUUGCUGUGAAUCUCCCUGUACAAGUUUCUGUGUGGACAUGUGUUCUCAUUUCUCUGGCGUGUAUGGCCAGGAGUGGAAUUUCUGGGUCAUAUGGUAACUCUCAGUUUAGCAUUUUGAGAAACUGUGUCCAACUGUCUUCCAAAGCGGAUGUACCUUUUUGCAUUUCCUCCAGCAACAUGUGAUGGUUAGUUUCCCCAUAUUCUCACCAACACUUGCUAUUAGUUGACUUUCUUUUUUAAAAUUUUUUACUUGGGAGAGAGAGAGAGAGAGAGAGAGAGAGAGCGAGAGCAUGUGUGAGCGGGGGAGAGGAGCAGAGGGAGAGAGAGAGAAUCCCAAGCAGGCUCCAUGGUCCCACGGCCAUGAAAUCAUGACCUGAGCUGGAACCAAGAGUUGGAUGCUUAACCAACCGAGCAAUCCAGGCGCCCCAUUAUCUGACUUUUUGAUUCCAGCCAUCCUAGUGGGUAUGAAGUGGUUUCUCUCUGUGGUUUUGAUUUGCAUGUCCCAAAAGACCAAUGAUGCUGAACAUUUUUUCAUUUGCUUAUCGGUCAUUUGUGUAUCUUCUUUGAAGAAGUGUCUAUUCAAGUUCUUUACCCAUUUUUAAUCUGGUUGUUUUUUUUUGUUUUGUUUUUUGUUUUUUUGUUUUUUUGGUUGUUGAGGACUUUGGCUUUUAUUUUGAGAGAGAUGCGGAGCCGCUGGAAAGUUCUAAGCACAGAAGUGGCAGUAUCACUUGUGCUGCUGUGUAGAGAAAAAGUACACAGUUUCACAGGCAAAACAGACACUAGUUAAGAUACUGAGAUAAUCCAGGUGUGAGAUAAUAGUGACUGGCCCUGGCAUAGUAACAGGAAGUCAUGACACAGGGCCGGUUCCAGACACAUUUUGAAGGGAGGGCCAACAAGAUUUGCUAAUGGGUCCGAUGUGCCCAGUAAGGCAAUGCCUCUCACGCAGGAGACGUGGGGCUACCCUUUACUGAGAAGGUGGAUUAGUAUCCUGUGGCUGCCACAAACUGGGUGACUUAAAAUAACAGAAAUGUAUUGUCUCGUAGAUUAGAAGCCAGCACUCCCUCUGAAACCUGCGGGGCGGGAUCCUCCCCGGCCUCUUCCGGCUUCCAGUGACUGUGAGUCUUGGCGUUCCUUGGGCUUACAGCUCCAUCUAUCCAGUUUCUGCCUCUGUCUACAUGGCCUUCUCAUGGCCUGGUUCCAAACUUCCCUCUUCCCAUUUUGACACCAGUCAUUGGAUAAGGACCCACCCCAGUGA
rnacentral:lncRNA from 1 species